rnacentral:lncRNA from 1 species
ACGGGGAUGAGGGGCUUGCAGGGAAGACAGAAUGGCCUCUUCUCCCUAGAGCAGCUGUGGCAGGCUGGAGGUAUGAGUAAAGCACUUAGGGUCUUUGUUCCUUCUCCAGUCCAAAGGCAGCAAGGGCAGUACCUCUGCAGUUGCAAAGGCGGAGGGACUUUCAGUAGCAUCUGGGAGCCUCACCCUGGAGAAACAGAGCCACUGCCAAUGGAAAUGUUCAUGCAGGGGUGGGGCAGCUCUGUGGGGGGCAGGGCUGCUUGGUGAAGAGUGGGAGGUAGAGGCUCACAGGGAAGAGAGACUGAGAGGCUGGGCUCCUCUGUCUAUGGUGACUGUGUCAUGCUCGAGGUGCCAGCAAAACAUUCAGGCUCUUUGUUUCUUCUCCAGCCCAAGGACAGCAAGUGGUACUUCUGCAGCUCCAGUGGCAGUAGGGUUUUGGGUUGUCUCUGGGAUUUCUGUAAGAAUUAAAGAAAGAGGAAAGAAACAUGAAAUGCAGCUCACCAGUCAAGACAGUUUUAUUUUAGAGAAAACAAACCCGAGAGGAGCUUCUGGCCAAGGUUGAAUUUUUGGCCAAGUGCAGUGGCUCACGCCUGUAAUCCCACCAGUUUGGGAGGCCGAGGCGGGUGGAUCACCUGAGGUGGGGAGUUCGAGACCAGCCUGACCAACAUGGAGAAACCCUGUCUCUACUAAAAAUGUAAAAUUAGCCAGGUGUGGUGGUGCAUGCUGGUAAUCCCAGCUACUUGGGAGGGUAAUCCCAGCUACUCUCCUGAGGCAGGAGAAUCGCUCGAAGCCAGGAGGCAGAGGUUGUGGUGAGCAGAGAUUGUGCCAUUGCACUCCAGCCUGGGCAGCAAGAGUGAAACUCCGUCUCAAAAAAAAAGGAUAUUUUCAGUUGCCAUCUGAAAACAAUGAAGAAAGUAUGACUUUUGUGAUCAGUUUGCCCUGUUUUCCCAAAUUUGGUCUACAGAUUUUCCAUUGUUCUGAAAUGAUUUAGGACCUUAUCCUUAGUUCUCCAUUUAAAAAAACGUAAGCAAUGAUCAACUUCAGUUUAUUACUGAUCCAUUGAUAACACCUUGUCAACUGAGGAGAUUGUCAUCUUAUCACUUCAUUCUAUUAUAUGUCUAUAAUGAGUUGUUUUGUCUUCCAAAAAGAUAUGUUUAAGUCCUAAAUUUUGGUACCUGUGAAUGUAACCUUAUUUGGAAAGAGAGUCUUUGCAAAUGUAAUGAACACGAGGACAUAUUGGAUUAGAUUGGAACUUAAGUCUAAUAACUGAUAUAAGAAAAAUGAGAUUUGGCAACACACAGACACACACACAGGGAAGAAAGGAAGACAGUGACAGAGAUGAUGCUGCUACAAGCCAAGGAACACCAAAGAUUGCCAGGAGCCAUUAUAAGCUAAGAAGAAACAAGGCAGGAUUCUUCAUCGGAGCCUUCAGAGAGAGCAUGGCCCUGCUCAACCCUUGACUUUGGACAUCUAGCCUGUAGAACUGUGCUGGGAUAAAUUUCUGUUAGUUUAAGCCACCAAGAUUGGGUUGAUUUGUUACAGCAGCCCUAGGAAACAAACAUGUCAUAAAAUAUUAUUCCACAUUCCUAUGGAUAUACAGCUGUUCAAGUGGUCAGUUUGCCUCCAUUUUGUUCAACCUACAACUGUGUGAUGCCCAUCAUUUCUUCAUAAGUCAAUAGUAACAUGCUAACACUAACAAAGCUCUUUUCUCUUUCAAAAUAUUUUAUCUUUAGAGAAACACCAUGUAGUGGUUUAUUAUGUUGUGCUGUUGUUGCUGUUAUCAUUGUUGUUAUUGUUACUAUUAAUAUUAGUGUUGUUAUUUUCAUUUUACAGGUUGAGACACAGGAACACACAACUAAUUAGGGGAGAGGAGAGGUCACCCAUACCACCCCAAGAGAGAAAUGUACUUAAGACAGAAUUCUGUGUGCUGUGACUGAAAUUAAGUUUUGAGACUAGCCAGUAUAUAGAAUAUGCUCAGAAAGUAUGUUUAAAUAAAUUAUACUAGCACCUUCCAAUCUCACAUUCUGCCUACAGGCUGACAGUGCUGGACAAGAUAGAGGCCACUGCAGGGCUCAUAACAUUUUAUGAAUUGCCUUCAUAUCAUUUGUGGUCAGAUAGUUAGUUCUAUGUCUAUAUGCAUAACCUAAUAACUUUAUAUUUUAAAUAAAUUGAUUUUAGGCCAGACACAGUUGUUCACACCUGUAAUCCCAGCACUUUGGGAGGCAAAGAGGGAGGAUAGCUUGAGGCCAGGAGUUCAAAACCAGCCUGGGCAACAUAGUAAGACUCUGUCUCUGUGAAAAAAAUUGAAAAUUAGCUGGGCAUGGGUGCAUGCACCUGUAUUUCCAGCUACUCGGGAGGCUGAGGCGGAAAUAUCACGUAAGUCCAGGAGGUUGAGGCUGCAGUGAACUAUGAUCAUGUCACUGUACUCCAGCCUGGGCGACAGAGCAGGAUCCCGUCUCUAACAAAUUUUUUUUUAUUUUAUUUGGAGUGUCUACACUUCAAUUCUUGGGGAUAUGAAAGGAUAACAUGUUCCUUAUUCAUAAACGUAUAUAACACGUACACAUUCUGUAAAAAGCUAACUUGCUUUCUUGGUUUUGCAUACUUUGAUCACCAGCAUUUUGACCUUAAUAAUCAAGUAGUACCUACCCAGCUGUGGUAUCUAUUAAUACAACCAAGGGCUUUAUUUUAAAAAAUCAAGUGUCAUUGCAAAUGACUGAUGAGACACCCUGAAAAACAAAAAUAUUAAAUUUGGAAGAUACUGGAGAAGAUAUGGUCAUGUGAGCACAGUUUUGCGUCAAAGAUUUUUCAGUCUUCUGUAAGUAUUUUUUAUACAGGUUUAUAUGCAAACUACAGGAUGUAAAUAAUUGGUCCUGAAACCAAUCUUCAAUUCCUUCUCACACAAUGUGACCGACAUCUGACCAGGAUGGCCAAGAGGGUAGCCUCUAUUCUCUUCAGGUGUGCUCUGGCCCCACCUGUCCAUCCCAUGCUGCUUAGGUGCUCUUUCAUCUCUAAAUGGUUUUCCAUUUGGGCCUCCAUUCUUGUUUUGCCGAGUACAGGUCCUUACUUAGGCAUUUGCUUUGUGUCUUCAUA